AUGCAACGUAGAGACUCGAGUUAAACUCCAAUAAAAGUUUAUGGACUUCAGGCAGAAAAUGAGAUUAUCCAUAAGAAUGGGGAAACAGGCGAACUCAACACACAGAGCUGGGGGCAGCAGCUGAACUGCAGUGAGGCUAUAGGCUUCUUCCUUGCUUUAUGGGACUUCGGUCCUGCUGCUUGGAGCCUGAUACGAACUGUCCUAGCAGUGCACUUCACACCUGCACUUAAUGUUUCCUGUUCCUUUUGAAGAUCACUUGAUGUCAUCCUACGACUCAUGAGAAACCUGUCGGAUAAGAUAGGGUGACCAGAUAAUCCACGUCAGGGAGGACACUCUGAGCUAGGACUGGAUUUGUAUGCUACCUUUUCAAUUAAAAGAACCCGGAUUUCACUUAAACACUGAGUCCUAUAUUAUAUUGUAUAUUGCGAUAUAAUUACAUAUGGCUAUUGUCUUGUCUUGUCUUUACUUGACUGUGUCUGUACCCACUGCCUGUGUGUGAAACACUGACAACCGGAGACAAAUUCCUUAUGUGUGAACAUACUUAGCCAGUAAACUGGAUUCUGAUUCUAUUAUUGGUAGAAGGUUUUACUUGAAUACACAGUGACACAAAAGCAAUGUUUCACCCUUGACAUUCAUUCACUGUACAAGCCAUGGUGCAAUAUUCUUCAUUUCUGAGCCAUUACUCCAGAAUUGCAUGCAAUACCUUCCCUGACAUUCUUUGCACUGCUUCUGAUUAUUGAAGAUUGCGUCAGAAGGGCGGUGAGCCCAAGGCGAGGUGAAAACACAGGAACGGAGAAAUGAGGGAUUUGAUUAAAUGUGUAUUUCAGCGCGUUUCCAUGUAAGAAUUUGACACGUUAGCUCGAAUGGCAUUUUCCUAAUUAACUAAUAUCACAGUGUAGAUUCACUUCUUAAUCCUCUUGAAGCUGUAAUUAAUAGCAGUGAGAUCCAGCCACUUGAAUUUUCUCCUUCGUAUUACAUCACCGUUGUAUCUGGCUUUUUAGGGCAGCAAGGGUAGCUCAGAUUACCAGUAAAUACAUCAUCAUUUGGAAAUUAGGCUUGAAAAUGACCGGUAAAUAAAUUGUGUUUUGGAAAUUAGGCUGACAAAAUCCCAUCCUGAAACUUCAAUCUAACAUCUGACAUGUGUACUUCCUCCUGACCUUUGAAGAUAGUGAGGCGUGAGAGUUGUUCCUUGGAGACAUACACCAGGUGUUAGAAAGUGUUACCGAGUUCCUCUUUGUGUUUCUCAGGUUGCAGUGAUGGGUUGAAGGCAAUGCUUCUCCGCUUGCCUAUUCACCCGCCUAAAACUCUAGUUUUGUCUUUUUCUAUUUCUGUCAUCUGUUUUAAACUUCUACAUCAGGCAAUCUAGUCUAGUGUGUGGAAAAGACUCCCAAAAAGGUUACUCUGGAUAAGACAGUAGGUCCAGAACAUCCCAUAUUGGACUCUGUGUUCAUUCUAAAGUACAAAUCCAGACCAAGAUUUUGUUUCAACCAACCAGUUAAGUACUCUGACUGUGACUCUCUAUACUCAACUGGUUGGUUCAAACAAAAUCUUGGUCUGAAUUUGUACUUUCUGAAUCUGAACUUUCCACCUCUGGUUGAAUUUAAACUCAAUGGCCAGGAGCUAGAGGAGCUCACGCCAAAUGUUUGCCUUUAGUCUGCAAUGCUACCCCCUUGUGGUCAGACACUAGAUUACGCCCAACCAAAUCAUUGGCCACAUCACCUCAGCCCAUGCUGUAAACUGUUUAAGCCAGACAGGGGGAUCUAUGAAGAGUCUGGUGGAGCAAAAUGGGGGAACACCAUGCAAAAUCAAACAUCAAAAGAACAUCAAAGCCAUUCCACACAAUGAGAAAACAACCAAGAAGCAGAAAUCCGGGUGGGAGAUUAUGGUUCUGGUGUCAAAACCAAAGUCAGGAUUUCAGGACGAAAUAACAGUAUUGUUACAUUCUUUUCAGAAACAAGGGGUGGUCAUCUCUACAUGCUAAAAGACAUAGGAAGGACCUAUAACCAACCGCACUUAAUGAUUUGCUGCGAUUCAACCAAAUCCAUCCAUCAUCUGACCACUUAACCUGGUGAGGUUCACGAGGAGCCCCUCCCAGGCAGCACAGGGCAAGCUGCUGAUCACCCUGAACAGGAUGCUGGUCCACACAUAAUGGCACAACCAGACACUACUGGCAAGUCAGAGACACCAGCCAACCUAACUGCAUGUCUUCGGACUACGGGAGAAAAUCUGCACAAAACAGGGAGGACAUGCACACCGCAGAUACUGAGCAAAGGUGGGAUACAACCCAACAGCCCUGGAGGUGUGAGGCAGUCAUGCGUGGAGAUGCUGCUUUAAUUGCAGAAUAUCAUAUUCACAUGCAUGUCAUAUCUGAUUACUGUAAACCAAGAAAGUCUGUUUGACCCUCGUGGUUGAUGUUGUGGAGUUGACAUGUGGAAGAAAACGUCAAGGCGUGUAAGAAAUGCAUACGUGUCUAAAAAUUAAAUCCUGCGAACAUGUGGCAAGCGCAGACAUCUCUAAAGCAGAGAGGAGGACGACGGAGCCGGUGGAGAAGAACGUCUGUGACAGACCGCCUAGGACGGAGACAGGGCUCACAUGACAGCUGAGCACAUGGACUUGGCUUGUCACCAUGGAGAA